UUUAAUUUAAACAAAAAUUACCGUAAGGUCUGUUCUCACAUAUGAAUGAUAGAGCCUCUUUUUCCUACAUCACCAUUUUCUCUAAAAGAGCCUACUAUGCUCGGUAUUGCACAUGCAUGGUUAAACAAAGGAAUGUCAGAAACGAGUCAAAGUUUGCAGAUAAAGGUUAAAAUGAAGUCGUAUCAGUGAACAGCUUUUCGCAGUUCUUGAAACUAAUUACAAGAAAACGUAGCUCAUCGUGCUUUCUCUUUCACGUAAAGCUGAGCGUCGAGUUGGUAAAUCGAGGAAAAGUCGGCUUAAGCCUUGUGUUGACUUUUCGGCUUUGCAAGCACUUGCUGGUAAAUUGCAAGCGUUGAAUGGUGCUACGAUACACAGCUUUUGAAUCGUAAGAACCCGCCAUUUUUAAUAGAUCCGACGCUAUUCCAGUGAAAGUGUCGACGAAACAAUCUUGCUUGGCGGCUGUCGCUCAUUUAAGAAGGAUGAGGCGCUAAGUAUUCCCUGCACUCGCCAUUAAGCCAGAUUAAACAGCUCUCCGCGACAAUGUCAUCUACGCGAAACGACGUCGAGACGAGGAGUCGUGCCGCGACGAGCGGAUUUUGCGUUUCUACGAAGAUGCAAGUGUGCGGGAUUCCGUAUACCACUCGCAUCGCUUGGUCCCUUUACGUAAAUGUAUAAUACUCGUUUAAAUCAGCGUAGAACAUGGAGGAUAAGAACCGUCACUGGGCUUGAGUAACGACUUUGUUUUUUGGACUCCUUUAUGAAUCAUUCCGAACAUGCUUUUCAUGUUUCUGAAUAUCAAUUUUCUAUGCAGACGGAGCAACAUUUUUUUUUGUACAGAGUGUUUCAGACAUAGGUGGAUACAGUAAAAUUCAAGAAAAAUUCAAUUUUCAAACAAAUUUUGGAUAAUCUAAUUUGAUUACAGACAGUCGUUUCAGGAAAGAGCCUGAGUAGAAUGCGGAAACCGAUGGAUCCGCAGUCCGAAGCGUAUAAAAUGAAACGUGAUCUCGGACGUAAAAUUUGCACGAAGGUUCCGGACCUAAGUCUCUUAAAUCUGUUUGUUGCGUUGAAAGUGAGCACGUUGGUUCGUCCUAGCAACGUAAUCGCGUCUUCUCUUAACCAGGAAGUCUUCCUUCUACGCCAAGUGGUCUUAAUUUAUUUAACCCUGCUUCUACGUUCUCCUUGGGUAACCCUUUACAUGUUGUGGUUUGACUAACCACAAAUUGGUUUUGCAUUUCAGCGACUUUACAUUUGAAAUCUUAUUUAAGUUUAACCACCAAUUUACUAGAUAUUUAAUUCUAAAAAGUAAUCAACGAACAAAGAUUAUUCUAAAUUUCAUUACAACAUUUUAUCAAGAAAUAAUGAUUUAGACCCUAAAGAUCCUAACUCGGGUCAAGAGCUGUACAGUUGAUCCGGCCAUUUUGAACGAAGACAAGUGGCGCCAUCAUUUUCCCUAGGAAAGCCUACCAUGCCCGAUGGUGUACAGGAAUUUGUAUGAGUUUAAAUUCCAAUAAUAUUCAGUAGUCACUGUCAGCUAACUCCCUGUCCCUGGCAAGUACAUACGUCCCGAGGAGUGAGCAUUGAAACGGUUAAUAGAAUGAAUCGUUGAGUCUACUGGAAUUCCAUUAGCAAUACAUAAAAGAUCGACUCCCAUUUCAUCGCGAUAACGUACGAGGCUGGAGGGCACUCUUUUCUCAAAUGUAACUCCCAGUCGGACGAGCUAAAGUGGCUUGCUAUCGCACGACAGGAAACGAGAGAGGAAGCGAUCGAACAGAGAGAGAGAGAAAGAGAGGGAUAACGAGAGAAAGAAAGAGAGCAUCGGAAUCGAUUUCGUUUCUUCCCGCUGCGCCCUGAAUCUCGUAGCUACAAGCCCGCUCCGUUUGAGCUUUUAAUGGCCAGAUACGGGAGCCAGCUUACGCAAUUAAACCGAGACCCGUAACGAGUUUCCACCAACCUGCGUAUCUUUGGUUAAGUGAAUUAAAUCCACUCGGCGUGGCGUGGUCAACUACAUGGGCUGAGCCCACUACUCGACAAAAGAUACCAUUUCCGUGUCACGCUGGACUGAUUUGACUUACUACUUGAUUUCGUUAUGCAAAUAUAUUUGGAUGAAUCGCAGAGCCGAGUUGGAAGUCGAAAUAGGAAUAGCGGUGAAAGGUUAGGAUCGUCUAGGGUUCCCUAGCAUCGCGUCGUCUAGGGGAAUGAUGAUAGUGGCGCCACCACUAUGUAUAAUUUACCUUCAGAAAUUCAGGAGCACCGGGAGAAAUAAUAGAAUAAACCUUUUUCCAAAUUUGAAAAUUCUUAACUAAUUAUAUUAAUUUAGUUAAUAUUCUUUAUGAUGGAAAAUGUUCCCUUCAGAGUACUGUGUUUUAACAGAAUAAAUUUACAUAUUUAAACGAAAAAGUUUCAUAUAUUUGGAGAAUAAUUUUUAAAGGAACAGUACAAAAUUUCGAGUACCGAGGCCGUCCGAGGGUUAAUGUAAAUGGAUUUAAUUUAUGAAUAAUUUUCAUCAUUUCUAUUCAUAAAAAUAUUAUUAAAUCCAUAUUUCUGGAAUCAAUAAAUGAAAUUCAACAGAAUUUCGCAAAAUAUUCAUCCGAGUUCGUGUAACUCCGUUCUCGUUGUUUUUGAAAAUUUCAUUAAGCUUCGGUUCGGUGGAAAUUCGUUAAAAAAGAAACCAUCCAUCGAGAAUUUAGCCAGCCGAGAAACUGCACAAAGGGAACAUCGUACGAUCGCACACACGUAGUCGAUACGUGUUAUUUCCUCGGGAUAAACGAACUUUCGAAUAACCUCAUCCCAGUGUGGACCAAAACGUACGAGCAGAAUCCUUUCCGAAUGCCGGAUAUUACAGAUAUUGGGCCGAUCCAGCAAACACGUACCACGAUAAAACACAUAUAUCUGAACCUAAUUCGAAACAACAUGCGUCAGCUAGUGUGCAACAGUUUCCUUUAGCUGGUCGAAGUGCACAUGGAAUUUGAAGAAGUGGCGUUCGAUUAUAUAGAAGCUGUUCUGACCGGAAAUUGGGACAGUAUUGUUCCUAUAGUACACUUCCAGCAAAUUUAUGUUAAACUGAAUAUUUUCCAUGUAAAUUACUUUGAAUUACUUAUAUUAUGACCCCGCUAUGUUGAGUGUGCCAUCUUAUGAUGUCAUUGGGCUGAAAGGCUUACAAAUCCGAAUUUUCCAGAAAAAUACUAACGAUUUUUUAUUCGUUCAAUAUUUAACGUCUAAUAAAAAUCGUCACGUGUCUCUUACCGAUCGUUCUUCCUGAAUCAUUCAAAUGCUUCAACGAUCUCUCGAGAUACUCCGACGCACGAACCAGCCGGAAAUAUCAGUUUCCAUUCGAACGCUCGGUGGCAAGUGCCCUCCGACGCGUGUUCCAGGUUCUUUUCAGCAUCCACGAGCUCCGCCAUCGUGCCAAGGGUUUUCAAUGCGGCGAAAAAUUCGCAUAGCUACGCGGUUCUCUGCUGGGUCGAGUAUGGUGCACACAUCGUUCCGUGUUUUCUGGUCGGUGUGACAUUUCCACUCGACGUCAGCUUCCUCGAUGUCUCGUCCACACGACCGUGUAACCCAGUCGCCCAAUUCACGCGUCCGCGUGCACCUUUCUAUUCAUACGCUCGGCUCGUACCCGAUGCUUGGCGCAGAAUCCGAAGAAGUAGAGCGGUGAGGAAAAAGAAAUUUAAGAAAUGAUUUUUCAAAAAUUCCUGAUAUUUUGAUUUUCGAUAUCGAGCAAAAACCUCGGGAAAAGAAAUUGAAAUUUUCCUUGACAAAUUCGAAAAAUUGAAGUUCUACCAACUUGAGGAGAAUAGAGGAUUCCAGAGGAGGCAGUUGGUUCCUUAAUGGUACGAAAGUGGAAUUUUUCUAGCAGUUUGAUACCAGGGAUACAAGAGGCUCGUCACGUGCCCGCUUUCCGUCAUACGCUUGGUAGUUCUACCUUGGAAGAAAGUUUCCGUCAACGACGGAUUCAGCAGCCCUUAACUUCUUUCACGACCCUCGAAACGUAUUACCGUCCAGCCGAACUUUCUACCGAUAGUUGCGAAAAUUUACAGUGAAGCGUGGAAUGGUCAGAACGCAGUUGUAUUUCGUAAAAUUUGCAGUAUUUCUUUGGUAGAAUAAAAGAAGAAAUACGAUACUUUGUUUCUUUGGAUUAAAAUGAAAUUAAAAUUGGGACUCUCUCCAUGGUCCGAGGGGUUGAGUCAAAGUAUGUUCAGGCAGAGAAGAUAUCUUAAGUAUUAAAAAAAUUUAUGCAGCAUAGUAGUAAAAAAGGUAGACAGCCAUCUUGGGCGAUUGCUCAAAGUGCAGAGGAAUUAUUCUUUUGCUACGUCACCCUCGCGUCUCCUCUCCUUUUUUCCAUUCCUUCGAAAAAAGUCUGCUCCACGGGAUGGCUUAAAAAUUUAUGGAAUUUCUAAGCGGUUGUAUGCGAUCCGCCAGCCUCUUUCGUCGCACGAUGAACAGCACUUGGUGUUUUUACGCGCGCUCGCAUACGAAUCUACAAAGCAUCCACCUUGUAGCACGGUAGCCAGGAAGCCGGAAUUCGACGGACGAUGCAAUAUACGUUGGCGACGGAGAUGCCCCGCGGGUUUUGUCUGCGGGGUUGGCAAACAGCAUGCAUCGAGAAUCACCGAGGUAGCUGAACCUCGUUGUUUGACCUACAUGAAUCUGGUAUAACACUUAGGGCACCCUUGUUCGAGUUUCCUUAAACGAUAUUCAGUAAAUGUACCAGGCGACAUUUUGCCACUUGCAUCCAUUGAUGGGACUUGGAUUUUUG